GCGUCCCACUUCCGCCUCCUGCGCCUCCGCUGCCGUUUCCACGCUGGCAGCUCUGACGUCCCAGCCAAUCCGCCAUGGGGGGAAUGGAACGUGUCACUUUUCCUCGAAGGGGGUGGCAGAGCAUCAGUCGUACACCUGCACAUGCGUGGGAUUAACAUCGUCUUGCACGGCCUGUGAUUGGGGAAGCGAGUGAAGCUGGGAAGAUGUGCAGAUUUGAAAUUAGGCCGAGAGCUGUCCAGCUUUUCGCAGCACUCACCCCAUAGGCCCUUCCACCAUUGCUUCGAGUCAGGAGCCCUCAAAAACCGUGUUAGAUUAAAAACGAAAAGAAAUUCAA